rnacentral:rRNA from 1 species
AUGCAGCUCUGGACACUAGAAGGCGCAGUGGAGGCCCUUGGAGACAAGGUGAUCAUCGACCGGCUCGACAGCCGGACCUUCGAACGCCCCGACACCAAGCUGGUCGCGUGCUGGGUCUGGGUCUGGAACCUCUCCUUCAUCCCGACCAAGCGGACGAUCUUGAAGCAUGCGAGGGGGGCGGGCCGCGUGGAGGAGAUGCACGGCUACUAGCCACCGAGCCGCACGGUUGCCCCUCCACCGGAGCUGCUGAAGUAUGACCUGCUGCUGCAUGUCGACCGAGUGGAGGAUUGGACGCUGCUUUCGCCGCGCUCCUCGCACUCGCCGUAG